rnacentral:lncRNA from 1 species
CCCCCUCUGCUCUCUCCGAGGCUCAGCCGAUGUGCUCCCCGGCCUUGGCGCCGCCAUCGCCCCUGCUAUGGAACUCAUGGCCGUCCCCAAGAAGAAGGUCUCGUCGCUUUUCCUCCCCGUUAUAUUCCGUGUUUGUCCCCGUCACUUACAUGUGCGUGCUCUGUUCUGGGUGAUCUCUUGGGCAUUGGUGUAACGUGGUACUAAGAGGAUGCACUCUAGGUGUUCGGUGAAUUGCCUGGUGGUAGAAACUGGACUGUGCGACCUUUCGAAAUGUUUCACAAGUGGAACAUAAUCGAUAGGAUUAUGGUGCAGGUCACCUGCUCUUUGAUUACUUGGUAGGUCAGUGAUAGAUAUCGUGUUUGGCGUUUAAGCCGGUUUCAGUUACAGCAUAGAGUCUUAUUCAUGGGCUAUGUUGGUUUAUACUGCUGUUUGAAGACAUAAGUUCUACUCCUAGUCAAACACAUUUUGCCAUUCAUGUACAUGCAAAUUUGCAAGAAUGUGAUGAACGAAUUAAUAUUAACAACAUAUGAAGAAUCUCCAAUCCCACAUCCUCAACACUACCUAUUUAAACCUAUAAGGAUGCUAGCCGACCCUCCUACACGGAGCUCCCCCGGAUUGGGAUGUUCCUGGCCGUUCGAUCGUGUUGAAUCUGGUCAACCAAGCAGGCAGGUUCGUCUGAUUCUUUCUGUUGGUUUCACCUCGCGGUUGAUUUUCGAGGUCCAUGACUGGUGGGCUUGGGGUCCCUCCCGAUUGGCUGGGUGAAUCUGCCCUUUCCUUGCUCACCGCGUGCGACUCGUGCAUUUGCUGCCCCGCUUCGGUGUGGUUCCACCCCCCUACAGCACAGCGCAGCACCACUCCCUCCUCCCUCGUCAGCCACCAUCGGGUCAUCUCGCUGGGGUGGAGGAGUAGCAGAUCCGGCCGGAUCCGAGGCGUGCGGGCGUGGCGUCGCGCAUCUCUCGCAGCGGCGGCGACCUGCAGACAAAAGGCGAUGGCCGGGACACUCGAUUCGAUCUAGCGCCAUGGACCGGUCCCUGCGGGAGAGAGAAAAGAUGAGGGAGAGAGAGAGAAAAGGAAGGAGAGGAGGGAGAAGGAGAGGGGAAAGAGGAGAGGGAGGCGUGAUGGUGGAUGCGACAGGGUCUCCGGCCGGCGCCGAACAUUCACAUCUCUCCUCCUCUCGUGCUCUUGACCACCACCGUGGCCCUCCUCCCCUUAGAUUCCCCAUCUCCUCAAGACAGAGCCGCCGAUGCUGACCGGCCAAUUCCGUCAGGCGCCGUCGUGGGAGGAGGCGCACCAUUAGAAUAUAUAGCAUAUAUUGGCCUACUAUCUGUGUGUUCUUCAGGCAGAUUGUUCUUUUGGUUUCUGCUUGUUAUCCUUGUAGCUCAUCGCCAUUGCUGCCAAACAUAAAAGGCAGCAUCAAGAUAAUUUGCAUUGAACCUGAGCGGAUUAAAAUUCCACUAUUUGAUUAACCAAUUAAAAUUUUCGUAUUUGAAUGCCAAAAAAUGUUGGGAAUUAAAAAAAAACAUGUCUCAUAUCUUCAUACUAGAAAUACUGAUCAUUCUAUAGUAAAAAUAGACAGGUGCGGCCACGGUCUGCGAUGCAGGUGAUUGCUGAUUGGUCCACAAUCCAGUUUGGACCUUACUUAUUCUGUGCAAGUCUAGCGAUGCCCUUUUCCAUGCUAGUUUAUUUUGGAAAUGCACUUCAUGUAUCAAAUGAAACUGCCGGUAUGACAGUCCCUUACAUAUAGCUUUCAGCUAGGUUGCUCUUGUACAAAAUAAUCAAAUAAAAAUGAAAUAUCUGAUUACUUCAUAUCCCCACAGCUCCUCGUAUGGUAGUAUGUAGUUAUUUUUUAUUGUAUUUCCUAACUAAUAAUCCGUGUUAGCACUCUUCUCCCAUGAAUGUGAUACACUCCAGAAGAAAUGGCGUUCACCUAAUUCUUAUUUGUUGCUGACAUGGACGCUUUGGGUAGAGGCCAGUGAAGAUUUCAUUAAUGCACCAUGUGUACAAUGUACAAUGCAAUUUGUGUCUCCUGCUACAUGUUUAUUUUUCUGCUGUUUAUGUCUUGGCAGAACUGAUUAGUUAUAAUUACUAUGAACAUUGUUGUGUAUGUUGUCAUACCAAGCCAAUUUGUAUCUAUGAACAUGGUGAUUUACCUUGAUCACUGAAUAAUGUAUAAUUAUGUUUAUGUAAAUUCAAUAUGUUUUAUCUAGUCAUUUAUUUAAUACAUUU